GCAGUAAUGCGUUUCGGUUUGAAGGGUGGGGCAGCCGUUAUAACUAUACUUGAGACCUUAGAACUUGUAUUUCAAGGUGGGUGGCGCAUUUACGUUGCAGAUGUCUAUGGGCUCCAGUAACUACUUAACACCAGGUGGGCUGUGAGCUCGUCCACCCAUAUAAGCAAUAAAAAAAAAAAAAAAAAAAAAAUACAGAGGGAACCGAAGUCCCUCCGCAGACCCAGAGGUUCCAAGCGAUCCGUGAGAAUGGAAUGAUAACAUUAUCGCCACGCAGCAAAACUCGUUUAUUCCGAGAAAUCACUUAGAGUCCUGAAAGUUAUGAUUAUAGACAUACUAGCUGACCUGGCAGACUUCGUAGUGCCUCAAUCGAUAAAUAAAAGACCUAAACUUUUGUAUAAAAUAAACUUCAACAAACAAAAGGAAUCCGUCCGACGGGGGACACAUCAAAGGAAAAACAAAAUUGUUAUUUUUAUUUAAUUCCGAGCAUUUUCAUAUUUAUCUACCUUUUAAACCUUCUCUGGACUUCCACAAAUAAUUCGAGACCAAAAUUAGCCAAAUCGGUCCAGCCGUUCUCGAGUUUUAGCGAGACUAACGAACAGCAAUUCAUUUUUAUAUACAUAUAUAGAAGAAGAAGAUUACAGUAGCUGUAUUAUACAUAUUUAUGACGUUUUGGCUUGAAUAUUCACGAAUGCUCGCGGUUGUUGACUACUGAUAAUGUUAAUAACAUAAAUGUCGCUCGCCUUCAAGACCGCCAGUACAAUUACGGACACGCAAUGCAAGACGACUAAAGACAAGUCAAGCAAUUAAUAUUCACAAUCAAAAUGCAUCAUGUGCCAUUUGUGUUUAAUACAAAAAGCAACGUUAUUUUUUAGACCUUUAAGGUAAACAUUGAUAUUUUACAAACAAUUUAAAGUUUAUUCUAAAAGAAAUAACAAAGAAUGAGUUAUAAGGAAAACGCAGGUAGGAAAAUUACUAGAUUUUGUAAAAUGAAAAAAUAUUCCGUGGUUAAUGACGUGUGUAUUUUUCCAGGGCGUCUCGGGUCGUGGUACUUAUUGGACUUCCCGCCAUGCCAUACCUUCAUCAGACAAGUUUAUCGUGAGUGCGGUUCUCCGACGUGGUGCCGGUGACGGCGAUGCCAGUGCCUAUUGCACGACAACUUGACAUUGCAGGAAGAUUAAAAUGUCAAUAUAACACUGUGAGGCUAUGCCAGCUUAAACGGGCGAGUAGGUGAGCUCACGUGGCUUUAACCUGACGAAUUUGCUAACAUCCUAGUAAGAGCGGUGCUUCACAGAAUCUACCACGAGAUCCAUAUCGUGAAAGAAAUUCAGAGAAGAAACUCAGUGGGCUGUGCCUGAGGGUUAAACAUAAUAUGCUGUGUCAUUCAGAUUUCUCCGUCUUUGUAACGAGGUUAGAAAGGAUGAUUUUACUGUUUCCAAAUUAAUUGUAUGUACCUACACCUUUAUAGUUACAUUAUGAGGAUAUUCAUAAAAUAUUAGUUUGUGCUAAUGCGUCGAAGGCAAUGAUGCAAGCCUGCUAUGUGAUAUUCAUUACACGUUUGCAAUGGCUACCCAUACAUUUCCUUUAAUAAUCGCACCGAUCAACAGAGAUAGAGUUCCACCUCAUUUCCGUGGCUCACCUAAAGUAUUUUUUUGGCUUUUGGCUCUGAAAUAAACUUCCCUCCAAGUGUUUACUCCGCGGCCAAACUGUGUUUCCGGCAUUGUUGGUGACCAUGACUCACACUUGACUUACCGUUAGGUGAGAGUGUGGUACGUAUCCAUGUGGGUUUACAACAUAUACCACCACCAGCAACUGCCAUUUGUUUAUCUGACGAGCUGGUAAAAAAUUCAAAGAUCCAAAGUAUAAGACUCGCAUCAAGCGAUCCCACUGCCGAUGAUAAAGCCCAAUGAAACGAAAGGUUUCUAGACAGCUUCACUGCUUUCUUACUACUGAAAACAUUUUCCACGCGAACAGGAUUUUUUUUGGCAACUUGGCAAGUUUUCCUAAGGCCUAAGUGUAAAUACAUAUUUUAUAAAAAAUGCACUUUUAAUUUGUGUCAUUCCAAACAAAUUCUUUUGCCUGGAUGAUUAUAAUGCUUUCAUAUCUCCUCACAUCCGGAUGAUGACAAGGUUGUCCGCUCAACAUACGGCACGACUCUACACGAGCCGUGGGAACUGCAUCAAGAGACGUGUCGGCUGACGUCACGCUCGCGUUGGAGGUUUAUGUGCACGCUGUAUCAUUUUAAGGGGGUCAGAACUGGUAUUUUCCAUUCGAUUUGUUUCUUACGCCAAAAUUUAAUUAUCUGAGAUUUAAUGAAUAGCAUGUAGAAUGAGUUCUCAGUACUAGGUAGCGACUCUGAUGUGCCCGUGGCAUUGCUGAGGUCUAUGAGCGACGGCGACUACUUACUUACCCUCAGAGGAACAGCUCUGCACUGCAGUGAAACUAGUUCAUGAGCUGAGCUACCAAUCCACGCACGAUUACAGCUACGCAGGAAGCCUGAAGAAAGAGGCAUGUAGAAGGCUACAGCCAAAUGAAGCUCAAAACACGUCAUUUCGGAUCCUCCCGAUCCACUAACGGUACUUUUAGGUACCCCAAGCACCGGUCAUCGUUCUCGUCGAACCCGUUGCGUUGCGACGAAGGGCUCUGUGAGUAAGCUAACCCACAUUAACCCACCCAAAAAAAAAAAAUGAAGCGUGGAUACCCCAGUCGCGGACGAGUAGCUCACGUCCAUUGAUAUUUUAAUUAGAGUAUUGUUACAAUUAACACAUACAGUCGUACACAGCCAUGAAACUUCGUCUAAAUACAAACCGAAUGAAAAUAUUAUCAUUGAUCUGUUUAUUGAUUACAAUAUGGAAAUGAGAUAGGAAACUACAUGGAAGAUACAUUACGGACACCUCACACGGCCGCAGUGCCGCCAGAGCCAAGCCUCUACGCGCCAAACUUCAUAUUGGUGAAUCACUCAUAAGUCAUAAUGACCUCGGCAAAUGUAAGUAAGUGAAUAUAAAUCAGAUGACGUCUGAUCGCUGAGAAUAGAUACUUAGUAAAUCUAUUUUUAGUAUAUUAUAAGGUUUGGCAAAGAUUGAUGUGAUUAAAACACUUGAGGUCAUAAGGCUUCAACAUUAGGACGUAAUCUUGGCCUAAAUAAUAAGAUAAAAGAUAAGAUUCCCUGUGCAUUCGUAGCAACCGUUUUCGGUUCCCACACAUGCUGAUCCUUCAAGAGAAGCCACCGUGGAAACGCGUUCUUCGCGAUUUCGUUACCGAUUUAACCCACCAAAAAUUUCGGUGCACAGCGGAUCUCACUCAAACAGCGUGGUGCUCGUGUCGCUCGAGCCCACUCCAUGGAGAAAACGAAUUGUCUCUAAUCGAAACACCGUAUGUGGCCUCUCUGGGGUCAUGCUUGAAGCUGCCCACAAGCGUGACACUCCCGAGCGGUGCCACAACUGGUUAUGCGGGCACUCCUCUCGUAGCUGUCACUACGCUCCCGUUACUCGAAAUGUUUAGGCGACCGCGCCACUACCCGAUGUUUACGCGACACCAAACUCGCAAUUGAACCCUCCAGCUGUGUCCUAUGCCUUAAGCAAGAAUACCCCGCAAGCUACUACAGAUGCCCCCGAGCCCCGCGGAAAAACUUAUUUUAGGAUAAAUUAGCAUUACUGGUGGCCCGGAGGCCUUUCCAGUUUCACCAGGACAGGUGGGUGAACAAAGGCUCAGCCAGGAGGGGUGGGAUUUGCUAACAGCUGCCCGAGCGCCUCCGAAGGAGACCUAACAACUCAAAAGGAGCGGCUUCGCAAAUGAAUGAAUCUACUAUCAGAUCGGAAUCGCGACCCGCUGAGAAGAUCCGGCGAGAAACUCAGCGAGCUGAUGCAUGGGUUAGGUUGCACGUCGAACUCUUUGCCAAGUUCGACGAAUCCGGUUAUCGGGGUCCUUAAGCCGGCUCCUAGCGGAAAAAAUACAAUCACCUCGUCGCCUUCAGAUCCACCGACUCAAAACCACUCGGCGCUUUCAACCCCGAAGACACCGAAGCCUGCUUUCGUGCUGGCGGCGGUACUCACUGUUUUGAAGUAGGUAAAACCACUGUCACUUACAAUAGUUGGCAAGAUACCCGCUCCCUGCAACCUGUGUCCACGUCGCGCCUCGCGUCUCAGCCCAUACUCGCAGCAUGGCCCAAACCGCGUUCGGGUCGCGAUUUCGUACUAGUACGCGACUUCGUAUCUAUGGUAAAUUUUAAGUGACUACGUUCGUUCGCCAUCGCGAUCAGCUCCAUGCUAACCACGCAACAACGACUCGCUACUGCGUUCGAGCAUAUGAACAUGAACGAGUCGGUUCUCGCACCCGUUCGCAAUAGAUAAAUAUUUAAAUUCCCAAUGGCGCAUGACGUACAACGCAAGAUCAAAAUGCCUGUCUGUUAAGUUAGCGUUCUUCAACGCUACCGGCUUGGCGCCACAACGCGACCACUUUUUUUAAUUCCUCCGCGACAAUCUAAUUGAACUCUUCUUGCGAGAAAGUUUCUGUAAGCCCUCGCGUCGCGUUCCUAAAAUCGGGAACUGCGUUAGGAAUUACAGAAUUCCUGCCCUUAAAGGUGAAACUACCAUUUACCAUAGGCGGGCCCUGCACUACGCCCCACUCGAUCCUCCCUCGCUCUCUCAUAUCGACACAUCAGAGUACCAUAUCACACUGACGGGACAUUAGCCGACCUUCCGGAAAACAAAACCGUCAGCCCUACAAUCUCGACUCCCUACCUCUAUAAUAUCGCUCGAGUGAGACUCAAAUAAACUUAAACGUCUGUGCUUCUGGCAUUCGCUGCUAAAGUCGUUCGACGAUCGCUCAUCAUCUAGUGUGCCGUAUACUCGCCUGACUUCAAAUAAAAAAAAAUAAUAAUCGCCUAGUAAAGCAAGAAAAAGUUGAGUGCUUGAACUAUGGCUCACCGUCGCUCAUCUCAACAAAAACAGUGGGUUAGUGCAAUGAUUAUUAUAUACUUAUAAACAAGACCAGAUAAUCACCGCAAUAUUACAAAACAAGACCGUACACGCUCCUUCUUAUUAGUCACUCGUUGUAAAGUUAAUGGAAUUAUGUUUAUACAUGUUUAUAUAAUUUCAAUAUUAUACAAGCGACUACAUUAAACUUUGAAAAUUCGUUCAAAACUAGUCAGUGCUAGUCGGUACGUCUGCCAGUCUUACAGCUUCGCUCUCAUCAAUAUUCAGUUUGGCAUUGACCGGUGAUUGCAGCGUAUGUAGUGUUGCACUCUGGCCGGCCGCGAACGAUCAACAUAUUUAUUCAUUUCCCAAUUAACGGUAUAAAAUAACUUUUUCGUGACAAUGUGGGUAACCUUAUUACUUUGUACUGUCGUAUGCGGAGUUUCCGCUUGUAAGAUUGCGAAGCAUGAUGUGCUCACCGACAAUAAGGUAUCUUCUAAGCCGUUGAAUGGUUCGGAACAUUCAGGGCAAGAUAAACGGAUCUGGGAUGAAGGUAAACCCACAUUAAAGAAUAUCUCCUCAGUGGACGACAGGGUCUCGUUCUCAGGCGAUAAGUGCCCCACAGGACAAGUUAGGUUUAAUAACCGGUGCGUGGAUGUCGACUGAUCAGCAGCAUUCAAUCGCCAAACAUCACAAUCACUACUUGAACAUCAUGAUGACUGUCGCAACGCAGAUUGAGAAAUCGCUUAUUUAAUAUACAAGGGGCAUAAUAAUUGUAGCUUUUGUCACAGAACUACAAGUAAUUAUUAAUAGUAUUAUAAUUAUUUUUUUGCGUUCGGUUUGCAUUUGAUCUACGACAGACCGACGAUGUCGUGCAGGCAAACAUUAACAAAGUUGUACACCUCAAUUGAGGUCUAAAUUCUGUGUCUAUACGUUGUUUAAAUAAUCUAGUUACAAAGUUGUAAUAACCGAAAGACCGUUUAAUUAUUAAAUAAAAUCAGUAAAUUGUUAAUUGAAUAUGAAUUGUAUUUGCGCUAGGAAAUUGAUUUAACAAAGCUUUGUGUAAAUUAGGCCGUCAAAUCUAAAUUUACACAACGCAUUUUGAGUUGGGUCCACGUUGAUGUCCAUGGGCUCCGAUCAGCAGUCAUGACGAGGUCCGCCGUGAGCUCGUUUACUAGCCCUCGUCUGAGAGCUUCUCGAAAGCGAUCGGCAAGUUUGUGCGAGAAACUUUUAUAACAUGAACGCCUACAACUAGAAUCAAACAGUUGAUAUUCACCAGACAUCUCGCCUGUCGAGAUUCUAGCUGGAGUAACACACGUGCUUUUUAAUUAUUUCACCUUUUGUUUUUACAAACUUUUACUGGUUCCUGUUCUACUUCUCUAGUCUAAGCCAGGCCUUGAUUAUAGCUGGACCUAUAGCCUGGAACUGUCACGGUGGUUACGGAAGGCAGUCAGAUCUAAAUUUACAAUUUUGACGUUAAACUCUCCAAGACAUUUGUUGCACAAAUACACACAAACCUACGUUGGCAUUUAAUCUGCCUAAUAUAAUUGAACAUUUAAAUUUGAUUUUGAUUAUUUUAAUAUAAUAUUUAUAGUAUCAAACGUUUUUUAUAAUGUCUGUUACGCCGAUUACAAAUGAUAAUGACUUAAAUUACGUUUUGUAUUGUUUUUAAAUGACUGUUACGGCGAUUACAAAUGAUAAUGACACAAAACUUGAAGGCAACACGUAACUUGGAUCUUUUCUGUAUAAGAGGAUUAAAUUAGUUGUUAAUAUAGUGCGCUUAGUAACGAAGUAUAAACAUUGUUAAUGUUAUCUAAAAUAGACCUGGGAGGGUCCGUUGAGAGCUGUGUUGAGCUCUAGAGUAACUACUAGUUCCUUGCGUACCGAGAAGAGUUGUAGUUGCAGGAGACUUUCCGCAGACCUGACUGCGGUCUUGGCGAAAGUCAGAUGUGAAUCUUUUUCUCUUCCUCUAUUUAUUUUAAGGGAUAAUGUGUAAUGUUUGGCCUACUAAACUAUAUAUGAAAAUUUGUUUGCUCACUUAUUAAAUGUGAAUUUUUUCGUGUGGCCUUUGUUAAUAAAUAUUCAAUUUAUGUGUGGAA